UACGGAGGGCGCAAGCGUUGUCCGGAUUUAUUGGGUUUAAAGGGUGCGUAGGCGGCCUAUUAAGUCAGGGGUGAAAGACUAUUGCUUAACAACGGCAGUGCCUUUGAUACUGAUAGGCUUGAGUACAGCUGAGGCAGAUGGAACGGGUGGUGUAGCGGUGAAAUGCAUAGAUACCAUCCAGAACACCGAUUGCGAAGGCAGUCUGCUAAACUGUAACUGACGCUGAGGCACGAAAGCGUGGGGAUCGAACAGG
rnacentral:rRNA from 1 species